rnacentral:rRNA from 1 species
UACGUAGGGGGCAAGCGUUGUCCGGAUUCAUUGGGCGUAAAGAGCUCGUAGGCGGCCACUCAAGUCGAAUGUGAAACCUCGAGGCUCAACCUCGAGCCUGCAUUCGAUACUGGGCGGCUAGAGUCUGGUAGGGGGAUCUGGAAUUCCUGGUGUAGCGGUGGAAUGCGCAGAUAUCAGGAGGAACACCUAUUGCGAAGGCAGCUCGCUGGGACGUUACUGACGCUGAGACGCGAAAGCGUGGGGAGCAAACAGG